UACGGAGGGUGCGAGCGUUGUCCGGAAUCAUUGGGCGUAAAGGGCGCGUAGGUGGCCUGCUAAGCGUGCGGUGAAAGCUCGGGGCUCAACCCCGAGUCGGCCGUGCGAACUGGUGGGCUUGAGCACUGUAGAGGCAGGCGGAGUUCCGGGUGUAGCGGUGGAAUGCGUAGAGAUCCGGAAGAACACCGGUGGCGAAGGCGGCCGUGCUGGGCAGUGAGCUGACACUGAGGCGCGACAGCGUGGGGAGCAAACAGG
rnacentral:rRNA from 1 species